rnacentral:rRNA from 1 species
AUUGAACGCUGGCGGCAGGCCUAACACAUGCAAGUCGAGCGGAGCGGCGGACGGGUGAGUAAUGCAUAGGAAUCUGCCUGGUCGUGGGGGAUAACGUCCGGAAACGGGCGCUAAUACCGCAUCCUAUCAGAUGAGCCUAGGUCGGAUUGGCUAGUAGGUGGGGUAACGGCUCACCUAGGCAGCGAUCCCUAGCUGGUCUGAGAGGAUGACCAGCCACACUGGAACUGAGACACGGUCCAGACUCCUACGGGAGGCAGCAGUGGGGAAUAUUGCACAAUGGGCGCAAGCCUGAUGCAGCCAUGCCGCGUGUAUGAAGAAGGCCUUCGGGUUGUAAAGUACUUUUAGCGGGGAGGCGUUACCCGAAGAGGAAGCACCGGCUAACUCCGUGCCAGCCGCCGCGGUAAUAC